CAAUAGCGUAUAUUUAAGUUGCUGCAGUUAAAAAGCUCGUAGUUGGAUUUCGGGUGGGAAUGGCCGGUCCGCCGUUUCGGUGUGCACUUGCUACGCCCACCUUGCUGCCGGGGACGUGCUCUUGAGUUCACGCUCGGGACACGGAGUCGGCGAGGUUACUUUGAGUAAAUUAGAGUGUUCAAAGCAGGCCUACGCUCUGAAUACAUUAGCAUGGAAUAACACGAUAGGACUCUGGCCUAUCUUGUUGGUCUGUAGGACCGGAGUAAUGAUUAGAGGGACAGUCGGGGGCAUUCGUAUUUCAUUGUCAGAGGUGAAAUUCUUGGAUUUAUGAAAGACGAACUACUGCGAAAGCAUUUGCCAAGGAUGUUUUCAUUAA
rnacentral:rRNA from 1 species